rnacentral:rRNA from 1 species
UACGUAGGGAGCAAGCGUUGUCCGGAAUCAUUGGGCGUAAAGCGCGCGUAGGUGGCCCCGUAAGUCCGUUGUGAAAGUCAAAGGCUCAACCUUUGAAAGCCGAUGGAUACUGUGGGGCUAGAGUCCGGAAGAGGCGAGUGGAAUUCCUGGUGUAGCGGUGGAAUGCGCAGAUAUCAGGAGGAACACCAACGGCGAAGGCAGCUCGCUGGGACGGUACUGACGCUAAGGCGCGAAAGCGUGGGGAGCGAACAGG